rnacentral:rRNA from 1 species
UCCGGUGUCAAUGCGCUUAGGGGAAACACCUGUUCCCAUCCCGAACACGACGGUUAAGACCUAAGCGGCCGAUGGUACUGCAUUGGAGACGAUGUGGGAGAGCAGGUGGGCGCCGGAU